GGGAUGGUUGGAUGGGUUGCCACUCACCUUUGACGCCGAAGCAGAUAGUCGCCGCCGUGUGCAUCUUCGCCGCCGGCGUCGCCAUCUUCGCCGCCGGAGCUCACCUCUCCUACGUCAACGUCGGUCCCCAGCGGGCCCGCACCCUCGCCCGCGACGAGUUCGUGAGGGAGCACUUCCGCAAGAAGUACGGGUCCGGCGAGUAGGCCCCCUCCGCUCCCUGUGCCUGCGGAUCCCCUCUGAUCGCUGACCUCUCGACAUGGGUGGCUCAGAUUCCGUCUCCAUAGUCUCGGAGAUGAGAAAGAAAACGGAGGUCAGGCAUACCAGGCUACCGACAACCAACUCGCAGGUGACAGCUCUGUACUCUUAAAAGAAGUCAGGCCAGGGUAAGUCUGAGCUAAUUCAAGUACCUACGAAACGAAAAUAAGGAAGCAUGAAAUCACAGAUAUUUUGAUGGAGAAACAGCUCAAGCACACAACCUACCUUGUCAAGAAGGGGUAUCCUUCCGUAAGGAGAACAACUCUCGAAGAACUCAAAGUAUAAGUGCCUCGCGUGCUCGCUAGUUCGCCACUCAUUCCCAUUACCUAAGUCGAAGCCCUGAGAUGCAGCAUCCAAACCAGCCAGCGUCUUGUACUCACUAUCACUACAAGAUUUGUUCCCACUGGUCUCCCUGACAUUAUUAUUAACGCAAUAGAGAAUGUAAUGUAAUCUAACUCUAUUUGCAGGUCUCAAAGUUGUGAUGUGAUUAUCUAAAUGUAUAGCUGUUACAGUAGAUGAGAAUGAAUCAGAAACCUGGAAGCAGCAGUAGCUUUGUGGGUGUAUAUCUGAACUCCAGAUAGGUAUGGCACAUAAUACUGGAUUAUCGUUGUCUCAUCGUGUAGGCACACCGGAACGCUGGCACCGUAGGCGCUCCAUUCAUAGUACUGCUCCCACAAGUCUCCGAGGACGAAGAACUCUUCGACGCUGUCCUUUCCGGUCAGUUGCUCUUGCACAGCUCGACAACCUGACUGUAAUUAUCAGAUGUGAGCAUAGAUGAACUGCUGCUAUCACUUACAACAAAGUUCAUUCACCACCGUCCGUAUGUACUUUGAUAUCUUAAGUUCGAUAGAUAUGAACAGUUACUAGAGGAAGCAGUAAAGGAAGUGAAGACGCCGAAAUAAAAGAAAGGAGCAGACGAUGCGAAAGUAUGAAGAAUACUGGUCAAAGAAAGAGAGGAGGAAGAAAAAGAGAGACCUUGGGAAGCUUGUGGCACGGCACGGAAGGAGUUGUGGAGUCGAGGAAACUCUGCAGGUUGGAGCGGCCUCGCCGACAGUUGUUGGCCAUCGCUGUAUGUUCCUUUUUACUCCCUUCGAUGUCGCUUCUGUGCAACCGUUGCUCUCCCUUUGCCUUCCAAUCUCUUUUUUCCAGGUAAACAAGAAGAAGAGAAUAAGCAGAAACCGAGGCGAAGAAGAAGGGCGAGGUCAGAACAAGGGCUCUGCUCUGAGAUGAGGGCAGAAGAGAGGCGACGGAGAGGGGUAGGGAUGCGGGUGGGAGUGGGAGUGGGCAAAUCCCAAGUGACCUCGGCGCUCGCUUUCAAUGCUCAUCCCACCAUUCCGAUAUGGAAAGUUGACUCCUUUUACGGAAUUAAAGUGUUAUCUACCUUGAGAUCUGGUUCAUUCAACCCGAGCCAACGCAGGGCGAACACAAAGAAGGAACCGAAGCGGAGGGGUUGAACGCACGAACGCUCGGAGGAGCCUGAAGAGGUCAGCGAAGCGCGAACAUUGGGAAAGCCUCGCCCUUUUCGAGCUCUUCUGCUCCCGCUAACAUCCCCCUUCGGCUUCCAAGCAAAAUUGCGUCUUCUGCCGCUUCUGCGGUGGAAGAAUCAGAGGAUAUGGAACAUAAAAGGAGUGUCCUUUAAGAGAGAGAGACAGAGAGAGAGAGCAGAAGAGAGGACAGGAAGACGGGAAGUGUUUGGCAGCCAGCGGACGCUUCGCCGCGUGGUGUCUUUACACAAAUCGGUUUUCGUUCGCCUCUGCCGCAUCCUUGUCGCCUGUCUCUCUCUCUCUCUCUCUCUGGAGUAACUAUGGUUUGGCACUUGCUGACUUCUCUUACCUCCACUCUCUCGCCUCUUUCUGUGGAUUAGAGACACCAACUAUGGUUUAACUCUCAUCUCCUCUUAUACUCUCUGUUAUCAUA